rnacentral:rRNA from 1 species
CCCGGCAACCACAACGAAGGGGAAACACCCGUUCCCAUUCCGAACACGGAAGUUAAGCCCUUCAGUGCCUAUGGUACUGCUCCGGGAACGGAGUGGGAGAGUUGGUCGUUGCCGGGU